AACGAACGCUGGCGGCAUGCUUAACACAUGCAAGUCGAACGGAAACAUCCUUCUUGGUGGCGACUAGGGGCGAAAGGGGGAGUAAUGCACCUGAAGGUACCGAACGGCAGUUGGUAACGGCUCUUAAGAUCUGGUGAUACCGCAUGUUAUAUGAUGUUUCGAGCGGGGGUGAGCGCAGGUUUGUUUGGCCUGGCGCCUUUGUAGGGGCCUAUGUCGGAUUGGCUAGUUGGGGGGGUAAAGACCUACCAAGGCGACGCUGCGUAGCUGGUCUGAGCGGAAGAAGAGCGACACUGGGAGUGAGAAACGGCACAGACUCCGACGGGAGGCAGCAGUGGGGAAUGUUGGACGAGGGGGGCAAGCCUGAUCCAGGAAUGCCGGGUGAGGGAAGAAGGCCCUCGGGUGGGAAAGCGCUGUUGGCGGGAAAGAAACGUAGCCCGUUAACACGGGGCGCUAAUGACGGUACCUGGAGAAUAAGCACCGGCUAACUACGUG
rnacentral:rRNA from 1 species